UUGGGAGGAGGGACACGACCCCCAGUGAAAUAUGUAGGCUACUGUUUAAGUCAAUGUAAUGGUAUGCGCAUAGUAGACGCGCGCACACGCACCCAUGGCUACCUGCGCCUGUCCAAGUCACGGGACUUCGGUUGAAUCCGGUUGGCCAAACGGAAUUCAACGGCUCAACUGUAGGGGAUCCCACUGUCUCCCGGUGCUGCCCAGCCCAGGGCUGCUCAUUACUCUCGUGGCCCGGUGGUGCCGGCUCGGCUCGGCUCGGCUCGGCUCGGCUCGGUACCGUCUGACCUGAGCGCGGGACCCACGGAGCGGGGGCCGCAGACACGCCCGCUGGCGCUGGCGUCUGAGCAGGGGCUGAUGGGAACCUUGCGUUGGAACCUGUAGCUGUCAGUCUGGAGCUCUGCUUGGUUGAAGGCCUGGAUCCUGGAGUGGUCGGAGUUCUCCUGGGAAUAUGCGUGGCUUCCUGAUUGUGAUUUCCCAGUCCUGGUCCUUCCUGUUCCUUCCUUCCUGUUUAAUCCUGCCUGCAUGUCUGUUGAGAUGACAGAGCCAGCCAUUCAACAUCUUGGUGACGGUCCCGUCCGCCCAGUGCAUGUCAUCCCAUGUGGUGUGGACCUCUGGGGGGGGGGGGGUUGGUU